rnacentral:rRNA from 1 species
AUUGAACGCUGGCGGCAGGCCUAACACAUGCAAGUCGAGCGAGAGUAGGACGGGAGAGGAAAGUAUGGGGACUGCACGAUAGAGGGGGAUAACUAUUGGAAACGGUAGCGAAUACCGCAUACUAUCGGAUAGCCCAUAUGGGAGUAGCUAGUAGGUGGGGUAAUGGCGUACCGAGGCGACAAUGCCUAGCCGGUCUGAGAGGAUGAUCAGACACACUGGGACUGAGACACGGCCCAGACGCCUACGGAGGCAGCAGUGGGGAAGAUUGCACAAUGGGCGCAAGCCUGAUGGAGCCAUGCCGCGUGGAUGAAGAAGGCCUGAGGGUUGUAAAGUACUUUCAGUCGGGAGGCGUUACCGACAGAAGAAGCACCGGCUAACUCCGUGCCAGCAGCCGCGGUAAUUC